CCUACGGGUGGCAGCAGUAGGGAAUAUUGCACAAUGGAGGAAACUCUGAUGCAGCGACGCCGCGUGAGUGAUGAAGGCCUUCGGGUCGUAAAGCUCUGUCGUAUGGGACUAACAAAAUGAAGGUACCAUGCAAGAAAGGAUCGGCUAACUUCGUGCCAGCAGCCGCGGUAAGACGAGGGAUCCUAGCGUUGUUCGGAAUUAUUGGGCGUAAAGCGGGUGUAGGUGGACUUAUAAGUCAGGUGUGAAAUCCCAGGGCUCAACCCUGGAAGUGCACUUGAUACUGCAAGUCUUGAGUGUGGUAGAGGCUAUUAGAAUUCUUGGUGUAGUGGUGAAAUACGUAGAUAUCAAGAGGAAUACCGGAGGCGAAGGCGGAUAGCUGGGCCAACACUGACACUGAGACCCGAAAGCGUGGGGAUCAAACAGGAUUAGAUACCCGAGUAGUC
rnacentral:rRNA from 1 species